UAGCUAGUUGGUGAGGUAAUGGCCCACCAAGGCGACGAUCGGUAGCCGGACUGAGAGGUUGAACGGCCACAUUGGGACUGAGACACGGCCCAGACUCCUACGGGAGGCAGCAGUGGGGAAUAUUGCACAAUGAGGGAAACCCUGAUGCAGCGACGCCGCGUGGAGGAAGAAGGUCUUCGGAUUGUAAACUCCUGUUGUUGAGGAAGAUAAUGACGGUACUCAACAAGGAAGUGACGGCUAACUACGUGCCAGCAGCCGCGGUAAAACGUAGGUCACAAGCGUUGUCCGGAAUUACUGGGUGUAAAGGGAGCGCAGGCGGGAAGACAAGUUGGAAGUGAAAUCCAUGGGCUCAACCCAUGAACUGCUUUCAAAACUGUUUUUCUUGAGUAGUGCAGAGGUAGGUGGAAUUCCCGGUGUAGCGGUGGAAUGCGUAGAUAUCGGGAGGAACACCAGUGGCGAAGGCGGCCUACUGGGCACCAACUGACGCUGAGGCUCGAAAGUGCGGGUAGCAAACAGGAUUAGAUACCCUGGUAGUCCACACUGUAAACGAUGAUUACUAGGUGUUGGAGGAUUGACCCCUUUAGUGCCGCAGUUAACACAAUAAGUAAUCCACCUGGGGAGUACGACCGCAAGGUUGAAACUCAAAGGAAUUGACGGGGGCCCGCACAAGCAGUGGAGUAUGUGGUUUGAUUCGACGCAACGCGAAGAACCUUACCAAGUCUUGACAUCCUGCGACGCACAUAGAAAUAUGUGUUUCCUUCGGGACGCAGAGACAGGUGGUGCAUGGUUGUCGUCAGCUCGUGUCGUGAGAUGUUGGGUUAAGUCCCGCAACGAGCGCAACCCUUAUGGUCAGUUACUACGCAAGAGGACUCUGGCCAGACUGCCGUUGACAAAACGGAGGAAGGUGGGGAUGACGUCAAAUCAUCAUGCCCUUUAUGACUUGGGCUACACACGUACUACAAUGGCGUUAAACAAAGAGAAGCAAGACCGCGAGGUGGAGCAAAACUCAGAAACAACGUCCCAGUUCGGGCUGCAGGCUGCAACUCGCCUGCACGAAGUCGGAAUUGCUAGUAAUCGCAGAUCAGCAUGCUGCGGUGAAUACGUUCCCGGGCCUUGUACACACCGCCCGUCACACCAUGAGAGCCGGGGGGACCCGAAGUCGGUAGUCUAACCGCAAGGAGGACGCCGCCGAAGGUAAAACUGGUGAUUGGGGUGAAGUCGUAACAAGGUAG
rnacentral:rRNA from 1 species